CUCUUUCCUGUUCGACUUCUUAAUUUUCAAACACAGUUCCAAAUCCCAGGGAGUGGGAGUAUGCUUCUGUUCUGCUGGGGAUUCUACCUCUCCAUCUCCAGCUUUUACGUAGGAGGAGGACGACGAUGAGUUUGAGAUGGAAUUGGGCGGUUGUUAGCUCUAUUUCGGAAGAAGAUGCGGCCAUCUGAUCGAGUUUGUUAGGGAUUUGAGUUGCAGACCUCUGGCUAGCUUUCCCUCACAUGAAUUCUUCAUCUCGAUCAGUUUAACUUCUACGAUCACCAACAUGCUACCUCCCAGGUUGGUGACUAUCCCAUUGACAACCAUGCACCGUAUCGGUGCCGCCAUCAGGAAUUGGAAAGACUAGGAUAGUUAGGGAUGUUAAAUUUCAAUGGUAUAUAAACUACAGCACAGGUGAUCCCUAUCUCUAAAUAGUAAUAUAUUGUAACAAUGCCUUAGCAUGUAUUGAUGAAAUGGCCAUUCUAUUCAAAAUUGUGUAUGGAGUUUUCGAGUCAUAAAUGAUAAGAUUUUAUAUUGUCCAGCUGUCAAUUGAGGCAGUAGAAAAUCACAUGUCCGAAGUAACUGUAAUUGAGGAAAUUGGGACAAACUUGAGCAAUGGUUGCAAGGACAAUUGCAUGGCAUGGAAUGAAGUUAGUUGUCAUUGCUCAUAGAUUAACAAUAGAGAAUCUGAUCAUGAAUCCUUCUUUAGAAAUGCUUGUUUGCGGGAUACAGGUAAAAUGUAUUAGCGAACUUGAUAUGAGCAUUUAACAUUUUAUCUGCACAUAGGAACAUUUAUAAAACUGUAGAUUUUACUCUGCAUGACUGCAAAGUACAGACAUUUGGAAACUGACUUCAUGUGUAUUUCAGAUGUUUCUAGAUUGUUACAAUAUUUAUAUUUCAUUAUUAUUUAACGUUAGAAAUAAAAAAUGGAGUUCUUAAAGCUUUAUAAACCUAGAUGUGCAAUUUAUAUGAGUGGGAUCGCUAUUGUCCCAAGAUGAAUUUGAACUCAAGUUUGAAAAGAGUUAUUCUGCCAGGUAAUUUGACACUAAAUUAACAUAUAAUGGGGGAAAAAAUUAUUGUUUGCCAAUAUUAAUUGGAAAAGAAUAUAUAUAAUAACUGUCUUCCUGUCAAUACCUUGCAAUGGUUGUCUUAUUGUGGUUAUUGUGGCUGAAGGGAGUAUUUGAUUUUCAUCCUUUUAUGGCCUAAAAGAAGUAUAUGGGAUGCAAGAAAUGGGUCUUUAUAUAUAUAUAUAUAUUAUUUAUUUUUUGGCCUAACUCUGUUUUGACUAAACUACUGAAACAGGAUUCCUGGUUCCAAACUGUGUAUGUUAUCUUCUUUCUAAGUACACUAAGGGGUUAUAAUUUAAUUUUUCUUCCUGCCACUCUGAGGUAUAUACGUUAGUGUCAAAUGUAUGAAAGGUCUCAGAGAAUCAACACAUGAGACUAAUUAGACAGUUAGAAUGGGGGAAAUGGAGGUAAUGCUAUGAAUUUUUGAUGAAAAAAAUGACAAUGAAUAAAUAAAAUA